GAUGAACGCUGGCGGCGUGCCUAAUACAUGCAAGUCGAACGAGCUCUUCGGAGCUAGUGGCGGACGGGUGAGUAACACGUUGGUACCUACCCCGAAGUGGGGAAUAACUGGCCGAAAGGUCGGCUAAUACCGCAUAAUACCGCAAGGUUAAAGCAGUAAUGCGCUUCGGGAGGGGCCUGCGUCCCAUUAGCUUGUUGGUAGUGUAAUGGACUACCAAGGCGACGAUGGGUAGCUGGAUCGAGAGGUUGACCAGCCACACUGGGACUGAGAUACGGCCCAGACUCCUACGGGAGGCAGCAGUAAGGAAUCUCCCACAAUGGACGAAAGUCUGAUGGAGCAACGCCGCGUGCAGGAUGACGGUCUUCGGAUUGUAAACUGCUUUUAUAUGGGAAGAUUAUGACGGUACCAUAUGAAUAAGGACCGGCUAACUACGUGCCAGCCGCCGCGGUAACAC
rnacentral:rRNA from 1 species